rnacentral:lncRNA from 1 species
UCAAAUAUUUCGUUUAUUAACAGAUUUUGUCCAAACAUUUAGUUUGUACCACCGUAAGUACCAAACCUUUAAAAAAUGUGCAAAUCAAAUCCAAAAUGACUAUUUCUAUUAGUUUGACUGCAAAAACUGUCAGUAGACUCCCAAAAUAAAAAAAAUAUUAUUAUUUUCUCAAAUAAGACGGGAACUUUGGAUAAAACACAUUUUCCCCAUUAAAUCAAAAAUUACAAAGGAAAAAAAAGCUACAAUCCAUCCCCACGCCCAAAAUUAAAAUCAUUCCACUGAACCAUCACAGUCACCGUCGGCAGCCACCACCACCCACCCAACAUUGGCAUCACCACUACUCAUUCUCUUAAAACCUUAAGCUCCACAAACCCAGCUCCUUAAUGCAUUUCUUUCCCACCUGAAACCACUAUAUCGGGAUAAGAACCCGGUAUUGCAGCAGUCGCAGCAUUUCGAGGGUUCCAUAAUACAGUGUUUGGUUUGCACUUUCCGGCAUGACCCGUGUAGGCAUUUCAUAUUGCAUCACUCCAGCACCAUAAAUUUGCUUGACAUCGGGUACGGUUUGAGAUUGAGCAUACACGAUUGGUACUUGACCCAGAGUAAGAGGGAAUUGUUGAAUUUACUGAGUUUGGAUUGGAACAAGUGGAAACGGAUUACUUUCGAUUUGUGCAGAUCUUGAAACGUAAUACACAGCUGUUACAUGUUACAAGGUUUGACCCACAUACCCAGAUUUUGGAGGACCAACUAUAGGAAGCGGGUUUGGGUUGACAUGUUUCGUUCUCAUCAGCGAAAGAUCUGGAAUCUCGGGCGUCUUAGGUGAUGCCAUGGAUGAUGAGGUGGAGCAAAAUGAUGAAGAAACAACCGGAGCUAGAUGGUGGUGAUGCCAGUAUUGGGUGGGUGGUGAUGGUUGCUGGCGGUGACUAUGAUGGUUGGGUGGCGUGGUUUUGAUUUUGGGGAAGAAUGAGAUGGAGAUGGAGAUGGGGAUGGGGAUGGGGAUGGGGAUGGGGAUGGGUUGUGGCUUUUUUUAUUUUUUAUUUAAUUGGGAAAAUGUGUUUUAUCCAAAAUGUCCCCUGUCUUAUUUGAAAAAAUAAUAA